rnacentral:rRNA from 1 species
CGUGUAGGCGGUUUGUUAAGUCUGAUGUGAAAGCCCCGGGCUCAACCCGGGAAGUGCAUUGGAAACUGGCAAACUUGAGUACGGGAGAGGAAAGUGGAAUUUCGAGUGUAGGGGUGAAAUCCGUAGAUAUUCGAAGGAACACCAGUGGCGAAGGCGGCUUUCUGGACCGAUACUGACGCUGAGACGCGAAAGCGUGGGGAGCAAACA